UACGUAGGGCGCAAGCGUUGUCCGGAAUUAUUGGGCGUAAAGAGCUUGUAGGCGGUUUGUCGCGUCUGCUGUGAAAAUCCGGGGCUCAACCCCGGACUUGCAGUGGGUACGGGCAGACUGGAGUGUGGUAGGGGAGACUGGAAUUCCUGGUGUAGCGGUGAAAUGUGUAGAGAUCGGGAGGAACACCGGUGGCGAAGGCGGCAUCCUGGACCAACACUGACGCUGAGUGAGCGAAAGCCAGGGGAGCAAACGGGG
rnacentral:rRNA from 1 species